rnacentral:tRNA from 7 species
GGGCGAUUAGCUCAGUUGGCUAGAGCGUCUCGUUUACACCGAGAAUGUCGGGGGUUCGAGUCCCUCAUCGCCCAUCA